CAGACUCCCUUUGGGCCUCUUCUUCUUAGCUGCGGAGACAACUACAGUCCUUCAGAAUGCCCCACCACCUUUUCAUGUUGACUCCCCUUAUGUGUUCUGGUGGCCUAUGCUUUUUGCAUGUAUGAGGAAAUGUUUUCAAAGGCACAGGGGAAACAGUUCUGUGAUGGUGUCCCUGUUUCAGAAACUGCACUUGGUGCUCCAGGUAAGAUGAUUACAACUUUGUCUCUGCUCACAUCCGGCCCACUAUGAGAAGUGAGACACGGGAGUCAGAUCAAAUUGCAAAUGUUUGAGAUGAGUCUGGGAUACCUGUACCCGUAAAGGUGGGGGGGGGGGUGAGGAUGGGAGUGUGUCUCAGGGGUUAAAAUGUUUGUGCAGCUGUGAGGACCAGUGUGCAGAAGCCCACAUAAAAUGCCCAGUGAGCAUGGUAUCCUUCCUCUAACUCAGCCCAGAAGGGCAAGACAGGAGAACCCUAGAUCCCAGGAGGUCCUCAGACUAAGCUGGUUAACAAAACUAGGUUUAUCUUCCAACUCUGAGAUUGAGAGAGCCUGCUGUGACUAUGGCAGGACAGCAGUCAAGGAUGAUUCCAAACACCAACCUUGGGCUUCAUAUGCAUACCCACCCCAUGGACCAUGUGCACACGUACA
rnacentral:lncRNA from 1 species